GAUGAACGCUGGCGGCGUGCCUAAUACAUGCAAGUCGAGCGAACGGACGAGAAGCUUGCUUCUCUGAUGUUAGCGGCGGACGGGUGAGUAACACGUGGAUAACCUACCUAUAAGACUGGGAUAACUUCGGGAAACCGGAGCUAAUACAGGAUAAUAUUUUGAACAGCAUGGUUCAAAAGUGAAAGACGGUCUUGCUGUCACUUAUAGAUGGAUCCGCGCUGCAUUAGCUAGUUGGUAAGGUAACGGCUUACCAAGGCAACGAUGCAUAGCCGACCUGAGAGGGUGAUCGGCCACACUGGAACUGAGACACGGUCCAGACUCCUACGGGAGGCAGCAGUAGGGAAUCUUCCGCAAUGGGCGAAAGCCUGACGGAGCAACGCCGCGUGAGUUAUGAAGGUCUUCGGAUCGUAAAACUCUGUUAUUAGGGAAGAACAUAUGUGUAAGUAACUGUGCACAUCUUGACGGUACCUAAUCAGAAAGCCACGGCUAACUACGUG
rnacentral:rRNA from 1 species